UCAUCAACAUCUAUAAAAGGAGAUAGACACCCUUUGUCCUUAACCAAGCCUUUUUCUUUUUGGGUCUUUCACAGACUUGCCAGAAUGAGCUACAUUUCUGCAACAGUGACAAUGGGGUAUUGGGAAGUGUUGGUCACUGGCUUUAUGGCUUCAUGGGUUUUGAGUGUAGUGGGUGAUACUUUGCCUCCAUGUGACUUCCCAGCAAUUUAUAACUUUGGGGACUCAAAUUCAGACACUGGUGGCAUAUCUGCUGCGUUUGAGCCAAUUCGAGCACCAUAUGGUGAGGCUU
rnacentral:misc_RNA from 1 species